rnacentral:rRNA from 1 species
UGAACGCUGGCGGCGUGCCUAAUACAUGCAAGUCGAACGGGGAGUAGCAAUACUCUUAGUGGCGAACGGGUGAGUAACGCGUUGGUACCUGCCCCGAAGCGGGGGAUAACGGACCGAAAGGUCCGCUAAUACCCCAUGUGCUCGGUAACGAGUAAAGGUGAAAACCGCUUUGGGAGGGGCAUGCGUCCCAUCAGCUAGUUGGUAAGGUAACGGCUUACCAAGGCGAUGACGGGUAGGGGACCUGAGAGGGUGGCCCCCCACAAUGGAACUGAAACACGGUCCAUACCCCUACGGGUGGCAGCAGUAGGGAAUAUUGGUAAUGGGCGCAAGCCUGAACCAGCAACGCCGCGUGUGCGAUGACGGCCUUCGGGUUGUAAAGCACUUUUGACUGGGACGAGGAAGGACGGUACCGGUCGAAUCAGCCUCGGCUAACUACGUG